UCCGCCUGUUCUCCGACCGAGUCCGUAAGCCUGAUGCCUUUGAUACUCCUGCCUGCUCUGAUCGAUCUCCCGUGAAAGAUCCGGGGUCGCUGGGACCGACGCAUGGUAGACUGCCGGAGGACCAAGCCUGUUCUAUCUGGGUGGCUGGGGGGCAAGAUCGGAGCAGAAAAGAAUGGAGACUUGAAUGGAGAUAUUCACAUUGAGAUCUUAGUCAUUGGAAACAUAUUCAUCAUUUCUUUCCAUCCAUCCAUCCAUCCAUUUUACGCAUGUGGUAUUAAAUCACAUGCCAGUCACAAGCAAGUCUGAAGUUGCAUCCUCCAAAUCCCAGCAAUCAGUCAGCUGCACAGAGGCCUCGCCACCUCAUGCUGCUCCUCGGAGCAUGGAAGGCAAAGACCGAAGAGGGAAUGAGGCGAUGGUGGUAGUGGUGGGGCACAAAAAGGCCUCGAGAGCACAUCAAUAUCAAUGGAAGAAAGAUGGAACGAAGGAGAGAGCAAAGAGAUGAGAAGGACAGAGAAGUCUGAAAUAUUAAAACUCUAAAACAAAG